rnacentral:lncRNA from 1 species
AGGUCCCUGCCUGUCAAGAUGCCCAUCCUGAAGAGUCUAGGGGUGGCCGACCCUAAGGUGCCCCGGGCGGGGACACUGCCUCUGAGGUCCUCUCGGAACCCCUUUGAGGAAGUUCCGGGACCGGAAGAAGACGAGGUUGGGGAGCUGGGGAGCCUGCCCAACGGAACAUCGUGUCGCCGCCGUGCCACCCUGGAGAAGCUGGCCGGCCUGGCCCCCUUCCGGCUGGGCUGGACCCCCGGCCGGCGGGCAGGCAGCCCCGGAGAUCGGCAGUCCCGCUCUUUCCUGGGCCGAGUGCUGACCCCAGGGAUACGCAGGAGCUCAGCAGAUUUUGGCCUCCUGGCCAGGCUUCAGGGGACCCGAGCCCAGGGCGACGAGGAGGUGGCUGGGGAGGCCGCCCGGAGACUGGCCUUCCUGAGACUGGGACGCGGGCCC